UGCGAACGGGUGAGUAACGCGUAGGUAACCUGCCUUGUAGCGGGGGAUAACUAUUGGAAACGAUAGCUAAUACCGCAUAACAAUGGAUGACACAUGUCAUUUAUUUGAAAGGGGCAAUUGCUCCACUACAAGAUGGACCUGCGUUGUAUUAGCUAGUAGGUGAGGUAAUGGCUCACCUAGGCGACGAUACAUAGCCGACCUGAGAGGGUGAUCGGCCACACUGGGACUGAGACACGGCCCAGACUCCUACGGGAGGCAGCAGUAGGGAAUCUUCGGCAAUGGGGGCAACCCUGACCGAGCAACGCCGCGUGAGUGAAGAAGGUUUUCGGAUCGUAAAGCUCUGUUGUAAGUCAAGAACGGGUGUGAGAGUGGAAAGUUCACACUGUGACGGUAGCUUACCAGAAAGGGACGGCUAACUACGUGCCAGCAGCCGCGGUAAUACGUAGGUCCCGAGCGUUGUCCGGAUUUAUUGGGCGUAAAGCGAGCGCAGGCGGUUUGAUAAGUCUGAAGUUAAAGGCUGUGGCUCAACCAUAGUUCGCUUUGGAAACUGUCAAACUUGAGUGCAGAAGGGGAGAGUGGAAUUCCAUGUGUAGCGGUGAAAUGCGUAGAUAUAUGGAGGAACACCGGUGGCGAAAGCGGCUCUCUGGUCUGUAACUGACGCUGAGGCUCGAAAGCGUGGGGAGCGAACAGGAUUAGAUACCCUGGUAGUCCACGCCGUAAACGAUGAGUGCUAGGUGUUGGAUCCUUUCCGGGAUUCAGUGCCGCAGCUAACGCAUUAAGCACUCCGCCUGGGGAGUACGACCGCAAGGUUGAAACUCAAAGGAAUUGACGGGGGCCCGCACAAGCGGUGGAGCAUGUGGUUUAAUUCGAAGCAACGCGAAGAACCUUACCAGGUCUU
rnacentral:rRNA from 1 species